rnacentral:tRNA from 1 species
GUCCUGGUAGUAUAAGCAUUACACUGGUCUUGUAAACCAGUAAUGAAAAUCUAUUUUUCCCAGGACA